UAUAAAAACUAAAACCAGCUCUGUUGUAAGAGGGAAAAUAAAAAAGACAAACUUUAGGGCUUUUCAUAUAGUAAUCUCCCUAUCAAAACCUCAAAGAUUUCCCAUUUCUGCAAAACCCAAAUGGAAUCCAAAGAAGACGAAGCCUCCCAAAACGGAGCAAACCCCUGGAAAUUCAGUCCAUUUCAAGCAAAGAUUCAGUUUUGUCAAUGCCUAAGCUUCCUGCAGAACUCAUCACUGAAAUCUUGUUAAGGCUUCCGGUGAAAUCCCUUUUACAAUUCAGGGUGCAGAUAUCUGGGUUAUGACGGAGUAUGGAGUUGAAGAAUCUAGGACAAAGUUGUUUACUAUCAAGUCUCAUAAUGAAUUUAUUACAAUGUUUGUAGGGUUUGCCCCUUUUUUGUCAAAUGGUGACAUUUUGCUUGAAAUUGAAUCACGUUUGGGGAAAUAUAAUCCAUAGAAUGACUCGAUCAAAUAUCUAGAGGUUACUAACUUUGCUCCAUAUGUUGAGGCAGAAAUCUACGUUAAAAGCCUAGUUUAUCUCCUUUUUUAGAAGUUACUAUGCCUGCAAUAGCAACGGAGGUUCAAAUACUCAGAUGAAGACACCCAUGUGACUAAUAACCUAAUGAUCUUAUUCUUUCACUUUAGCUGUAAUAUUGAUGAAACGAAGUAUACAUUGCAAGGCGUAAUCAGUUCAGGGUGCUAAUUUUGCUGCUAUGAUCAUGAGAGUUAGGUUGAGCGUACAGAAGAAUUUCGGAAUAUAGGAGAAACUGAAUUUGGGGAAGAGCUUUGUUUAAGAGGGCCUUGUCUAUUCUAAUGUAGAAUAAAAAGUGUUGUCAUCUUUGUUAUUUUGAACAAGAAUCAUUUCCAGUGUAGUUUAUUCUUUUAUGUUCUGAACAACCCUAAAAUUGUGUCUGUAAUUUGUAUUUUGAG